GACGAACGCUGGCGGCGUGCUUAACACAUGCAAGUCGAACGGAAAGGCCCCUUUGGGGGUCCUCGAGUGGCGAACGGGUGCGUAAGACGUGGGUAACCUGCGCUUGACAUCGGGUUAACUUCAGGAACCUGGGGCUAAUAACGGAAAGGCAUCCUUGCUGCAUGGUGGGGGUUGGAAAGCUUCGGCGGUUUUGGGUGGACUCGCGGCUUAUCGGCUUGUUGGUGGGGUAGUGGCUUACCAAGGCGUCGACGCGUAGAUGGACUGUGAGGGUGACCGGCGACCUUGGGUCUGAGGUGCGGCCCAGGCGCCGACGGGUGGCAGCUGGGGGGAAGCUUGCACAAUGCGCGGCAGCCGGAUGCAGCAGGGCCUCGUGCUGGAUGACGGUCUUCUGGUUGAAGACCGCUUUCAGCAGGGGCGAAGCUUGUGGUGACGGUACCUGCAGAAGAAGCACCGGCUAACUACGUG
rnacentral:rRNA from 1 species